UUUGGGACAGAUCAUUGUUGGCUACCAAAAUAAAUUUUUUAAUGUUUUUUAACUGUUUUUGAAGUCACAAAUUCAUUACCGUAAUGUGUCCUAAGGGGAAAAAAAUUAUUUCGCCUCAAUUUAUUAUUAUGAAUAAUCAAGCAGGUUUAUAAAAAAAUAUUAUGAAUUUGUUUAAAUAUACAUAAAUUAAUAAAAUAUGAUAAUAUAUAAUAAUUUCCUGUUAAGUAAUUCAGAAUAUUGUAAUAAAAGUGAGUGUCCGGAGGUUCAACUCUCAUUACCGUUGCACCGUGUUCAAAGUCCUGUAAUAUUCACAGCACUUUUUUAAAUAAAGUUUUUCUGACCCAUGAUGCACCACAAAGAAGAGAAGACAAAGAUGGCUACAAGGUAAGAUUGUUUGACAUCUUUAGAUCAUGACAACUGUUAAGUUUCUCCUUCCAUAUGCCUAUUUUUACACUACAGGUUAUCAUUACCGUAAUGUAGAAUACCUCAUGUUCUUAAAAAGUUGUUAAUAAGAUGAUUUCUUGUACAGAAGAAGUUAGAGAGUUCACACUGUUUGUGAGAAAAGUUUAACUGAGUCAUCACGACAUGCUAGAAUUUUAAGCUAGCACAUGUGGAUGUCAUUCAUUACCGUAAUGCAUAACUUUCAUUACCGCGUAAUCUGAGGCCUGUUGCGGUAAUGAGAAACAAGAUUACGGUGAUGAACAGUGUCAUUUUGCAAUAAUAAAUAGAUAAAUGUAUAGGUUAUUUAAACUGUAAUGUUGUUUAUUAUACUUUCAAUUUUUUAGGCUAAAUUUCUAAGCUAAUUUAUGCUAAUUGAUAUCACCUAAUAUGAAGGGCAAAAGGAAGUGAACAGAAGAGGGCGGCAUCAAGAGCUAGGGUGGAAAAACAUAGGCAGAAGAUUUAUAACAAUCCAGACCUUCUAGAGGAGUAUAGAAGAAAGGAAAGGGAAAGGUAUCAGAAGCGCAAGGAAAAAGGGUUGUUAAAGGCAGCUGCAGAUCUGACACCCAGGCAGCUGCAGAAACAGCGAAAAAAAUGGAGGGAAAAUUCUAAUCGAUAUAAUAAAAAGAAGCAAACAGUUAAACACAUACUAAAUGAAACCCCUCCCUCAGAUGACAGUGUGAAUCAAAUCAACCCUCAGCCUCAACCACAACUUUGUAAAAGAUUAAUCCAACCAAAGACCGUGAACUCUAAUCCAUCUGCAACAUCAACUCCAAAGCGGAAAAAAAAAACAGCCAAAUUAAGAGAAAAACUGAGGAAGG